rnacentral:rRNA from 1 species
GCCAGCUGCGAUAGCAUUUUGAAUGUACCAGUCUCCAUGGAUUAUUGAAAUUAAGUAACGUAGAGCGUGGUUAGUUUCCGGAUAGGUGACCAACUGGGCUAUCACGUGCUGGCU